GUAUUGCAACAGAUGUGAAAGCUACGCCCUUUAAAGGCUGACCGCUUAGGAACAUUGUCAGAAGGUUCACACUCCAAGAGAAUGUAUCCAAAGACUUCAGAAGAUCUCCAUUAUGACUGCCUAAGGCUUACCGACUUCGACAACUUAAAGGUCAUGGUUGUGUGCAGCCUAUGCAGUCAGCUGCCCAAGGAGACAUCCACAAUUCACCAAAAGAGUUAGAUGUGAGUUGUCAUGGAAAUGACGAGGUCAAACAGAAGUAAGAAAAGUUAAUGGAAGUCAUUCGAAAAGGCGAAUACGUACUGACUAAACCAAGAACUUCAUACAUGCAAUGGUGGAUUAUUCACUGCAUAUGAAGCAAUCCAGGUUAUGGACCAGUCAACCUGCAAAAAGAACGAAGCUUUUGGACCAUUCUGCAACGGAUCUCAAGUUACCCGAUGAUGUGCAAGGCAAGGAAACUGUAUGAAUCUGCCAUUUAUCUUGAACCUGAAAUUCUAAGAGCUGAACUGGCAAGGGGUGAUAUGCGUUUUGGUGAAUCCUGGAAUAAUCAAGAAUUUUUUCUACUUGAAAGAUAUUAGAGGCAAUAGGCAGAUGAUUCUCCACUCAUCAAGUUAGGUCACCUAUUUGCAGUAACAAAUCUGCUGUCCCAAUAUCAAUCUGCACUAAGGUUAAGGAAUAACUGAAGACAAGAAUGCUGGCAUGAGCAACGGUAUUAUUUUUCUCGCUUUAUUCAAAUGCUUGUUUACCUGAGAUCGUGCACAAAUUUAUUUGGUCACAUUCUAGCUCCCAUAUGUUUAGAUUAUUAUUUUGUCCCACCAGAGCCAUACGCAACAAAAACUGAACCAUCAUUUGUGCAAUCUGAAUAUUUAGUGAGCUUUGUUAAUUAUGUAUCCAUCUAGUCAGAAGCUCUUGAAAGCCAGUCACUCUUUUUGUAUCCUUCAAUUGCUACCCUCUGACACUCGUCAUCACAAUUCAUGCAUUGCAAUCUCGCAUAAGCCACUUGUACCAUUCUGACGCCGGUGUAUCCAUUCUCUUUGUAUAAGUCACUUCAUUCAUUUGUGCAUCAGUGUCAGCCUAUUAUAUAGGGUUUGCACACUUGUUAUUUUCCGAUAAAACUCAGUGGGAGAGUUCAUUUUAUGGUGUCCAGUCCCUUGGAAACAGAGUCAUCCAAUAGUUUAAAGCUCUUGAAAGCCAAUCAUUUCUUUUGUAUCAUUCCAUUGACUCCUUGGAUCAAUCCAUUGGUCUAUCCAUUAGACUAUUACGUAGAUUUUGCAUAUUGUUCCUCUUUGAUAUAUUCAUGAGGAUAUAUCAUUGAUGGCACUCAUCAUGCAUCGAAUUACUCCUAGCAGUCAUUUGUAAAUGGAGCCUGCCAUAUGUCGGCAACUCUAAAUAUAUACUAAACAGAAAAGAAAAAAAGAAACAAUGCUGGC